UCUAAGAACACUGAUCGGUUAAUCAAAUAUGUUACUAGGAACGGCUCAAAGGUUACUUGGAACCGAAAAGCUGAAUUUGCAGGUUAACGGACAAUAUGUUGAGCAUGUACUAUAUAUAUAUAUAUAGAUACUACAUAUUAUAUUUAAAUGUGUGAUAGUGCUGUUCUAGUGUUCUAGACACUGAUCGUUAACGAAUAUGUUACUAGGAACAGCUCAAAGGUUACUUUGAACCGAAAAGCUAAAUUUGCAGGUUAACGGUCAAUAUGUUGAACAUGUACAACACUUUAAAUAUCUCGGUGCUUUCUUUGACAGCUCCCUCACAUGGGAGCAUAUCAUAUUGAAAAGUUGCAUGCUAGAAUUUCUCAAAAGCUUGGUGUUUUAAAGCGAACUAGAUCUUUUAUUUCUAUGGAUACGAGUAAACUCUUAUUUAAUGCCAUGGUA